rnacentral:lncRNA from 1 species
UUUGAAGCUACAUGCGAAGAAAGAUGGCAAAUGAAAAUUGGUGGAUUUUAUAGCAUUUUUACGCCUGGGGCGGAAUUCUUUGCGCCUGGGGCGGAAAUAUUACUGAAGAACCAAGAUUGCUUUCUGUUUUGCCGUUUCAGGCGAAAUUCUUGUGCCUGAAACGUAACUUCUUACGCCUGGGGCGGAAAUUCUGUGCCUCAGGCGGAAAACGUUACUUUUGAUCAUUUUUAUAAAAAGGAAACAUCAGAUCUGGAUCAUUAUCGAAUUUUUACACAAAAGAACAGCAUUGGGAGCGAUUUUGGAGGAUCAAGAGCGAUCAAGCAAGGAUUCCAGUGUGGAAACACAUCAAGAUUCUUCUUGUAAACAUGCUUUCUUUCAUUUUAUUUGAUGUAAUUUCUGAAUUUGCAAUGUCUAGCUAAAUUCUCAUGAUUGGUCCUUAGGUGAUUCUAAUUACUUUUGAUCUUGAAUUAUGUGAUUGUCAU